rnacentral:lncRNA from 1 species
UUCUUUGGUUCAUAAGUGUCGUCACUAUGAGACUGAUCGGAUUGUAGCAAUUAAGAACAUCAACUUUAAAGACCUAUCUGAAGGAGUCCCACGCUCAGUCAUAAGAGAAGUCGCACUUUUGAAGAAGUUAGAGCAUAAAUAUAUUGUCUGGUGAUUGACACUCCCUUCUUGUAGUUUCUGAUAUUUAGAGACACAAAAUGAAGCCACGAUAAUCCUUUUCAUCGCACUAUUAGUAGUUUAUCAUUUUUAAACUGUUUUGCACCUUAAUGAAAGAGUAGUUUGAAAUAUUGGGGUGACCAGGAGGGGUCUCAUUCUCAGAUUUAGCUAGAAAAUUUACAAAUACAAUAUAUUCAUGCUCGGAUCAUUGCAUUCUGAGUUUUUAAAUUGUCUAGUUUCCUUCUCUACUGCAGCCAAGGCAAAUUAUGUGAAUGCUGUUGGUAUUUUCUACUUUGCAGCCUCCUUAUACUGCUCGACUAUGACUACUUUCCCUGUCAUUGCACAAUCUCUGCCGAUUUUUGUUUUGUUGAAUCUGAUAUGCUUGGAUAGUUAGAUUACUUUAUGGCUAAAUGCUUUCUAAAUAUAGUCUAGGAUCAAAUUUUAUCAUGCGAAAGAUUUAUUUUGUUCAUACAUCCCAUCAGCUCUAUUAAUCAUCUUGAACUCGUCUAACCAUGAUAUUUUGUCAUUUGAAUACUGAAAACCAGGUUAUUGGAUGUUCAAAGUGAUGCAUAGAGUGCAAACCUGGUUUUUGAGUAUGUCGAC